AGAGUUUGAUCAUGGCUCAGGAUGAACGCUAGCUACAGGCUUAACACAUGCAAGUCGAGGGGAAACAACAUCGAAAGCUUGCUUUUGAUGGGCGUCGACCGGCGCACGGGUGAGUAACGCGUAUCCAACCUGCCCACCACUUGGGGAUAACCUUGCGAAAGUAAGACUAAUACCCAAUGACGUCUCUAGAAGACAUCUGAAAGAGAUUAAAGAUUUAUCGGUGAUGGAUGGGGAUGCGUCUGAUUAGCUUGUUGGCGGGUAACGGCCACCAAGGCGACGAUCAGUAGGGGUUCUGAGGGAAGUCCCCCANAUUGGAACUGAGACACGGUCCAAACGUCCUACGGGAGGCA
rnacentral:rRNA from 1 species